UACGUAGGGGGCAAGCGUUGUCCGGAAUCAUUGGGCGUAAAGAGCGCGUAGGCGGCCCUGUAAGUCCGCUGUGAAAGUCAAGGGCUCAACCCUUGAAUGCCGGUGGAUACUGCAGGGCUAGAGUCCGGAAGAGGCGAGUGGAAUUCCUGGUGUAGCGGUGAAAUGCGCAGAUAUCAGGAGGAACACCGGUGGCGAAGGCGGGUCUCUGGGCCGAUGACUGACGCUGAGGAGCGAAAGCGUGGGGAGCGAACAGG
rnacentral:rRNA from 1 species